CUCAGUAGUUAAAUUCUUCGCCACUUGGCAAUAGCAAUAUAUGGAUCAAACUAAUGGUGGCUUUGUAUAGUCGUAUGUCUCGAGUUCCCAAGUUGCUAGGGUACGGUCUCUACCCAACACCUCAUCCACUUAUACAUUACAUAUACCAGAACUGGUUAGGGAUUUGUCAGGCAUUUGUGACUUAUCCAAGUAACUUUGAAGUAUGGUAGAACGAAUAUAUUUUGUAUGGUACACUUCUUUUUGCCCUCUUUCUUACAGGCCUAAUGCCUUGUCGGUUCCGGCACACCACAACCGACUGCUGUUAUUAACUAUGAUGUCUAUUACUAAUUAUAUGUUAUCUUACCCUUACGGCAAUAUUGCCCCGACCACAAAUAUAUAUGGCCUGUAUAGUCUUAUUUUAGAUGGCUUGCCCAAAUUGCUGAUCACAUUAAGUGUUUGAGAU